AUGUCUUGAACUUUUCUG
rnacentral:snRNA from 1 species